rnacentral:rRNA from 1 species
GAUGUACGCUAGCGACAGGCCUAACACAUGCAAGUCGAGGGGCAGCAUGAAAUUAGCUUGCUAAUUUUGAUGGCGACCGGCGCACGGGUGAGUAACACGUAUGCAACCUGCCUGUAAGCGGGGGAUAACCCGGAGAAAUUCGGACUAAUACCGCAUAAUAUCAUCGAAUCGCAUGUUUUGAUGAUUAAAAAUUUAUUGCUUACAGAUGGGCAUGCGUAUGAUUAGCUAGUUGGCGGGGUAACGGCCCACCAAGGCGACGAUCAUUAGGGGUUCUGAGAGGAAGGUCCCCCACAUUGGAACUGAGACACGGUCCAAACUCCUACGGGAGGCAGCAGUGAGGAAUAUUGGUCAAUGGACGCAAGUCUGAACCAGCCAUGUCGCGUGAAGGAUGACUGUCCUAUGGAUUGUAAACUUCUUUUAUAUGGGGAUAAAGUGUGAGACUUGUCUCAUUUUGCAUGUACCAUAUGAAUAAGCAUCGGAUAACUCCGUGCCAGCAGCCGCAGUAAAAC